UGGGGAAUAUUGCGCAAUGGGCGAAAGCCUGACGCAGCGACGCCGCGUGAGGGAUGAAGGUUUUCGGAUCGUAAACCUCUGUCAGAAGGGAAGAAACUGCGCUGUGCUAAUCAGCGGCGCACUGACGGUACCUUCAAAGGAAGCACCGGCUAACUCCGUGCCAGCAGCCGCGGUAAUACGGAGGGUGCAAGCGUUAAUCGGAAUUACUGGGCGUAAAGCGCACGUAGGCGGUUGCGUAAGUCAGGGGUGAAAUCCCACGGCUCAACCGUGGAACUGCCCUUGAUACUGCACGACUUGAAUCCGGGAGAGGGUGGCGGAAUUCCAGGUGUAGGAGUGAAAUCCGUAGAUAUCUGGAGGAACAUCAGCGGCGAAGGCGGCCACCUGGACCGGUAUUGACGCUGAGGUGCGAAAGCGUGGGGAGCAAACA
rnacentral:rRNA from 1 species